GAUGAACGCUGGCGGCGUGCCUAAUACAUGCAAGUCGAGCGAACGGACGAUAAGCUUGCUUCUCUGAUGUUAGCGGCGGACGGGUGAGUAACACGUGUAUAACCUACUUAUAAUACUGGUAUAACUUCGGGAAACCGGAUCUUAUACCGGAUGAUAUUUUGAACCGCAGGGGUCAAAGGUGAAAGACGGUGGUUCUGUCUCUUAUAGAUGGAUCCGCGCUGCAUUAGCUAGUUGGUAAGGUAACGGCUUACCAAGGGAACGAUGCAUAGCCGACCUGAGAGGGUGAUAGGCGGCCUGGGAACUGGGACGCGGUCAAGGCUACUACGGGAGGCAGCAGUCGGGAAUCUUACGCAAUGGGCGAAAGCAUGACGGAGCAACGCCGCGUGAGUGAUGAAGAUCUUCGGAUCGUAAAGCUCUCUUAUUAGGGAAGAACAGAUGUGUAAGUAACUGUGCACAGAUUGACGGUACCUAAUCAGAAAGCAACGGCUAACUACGUG
rnacentral:rRNA from 1 species